rnacentral:rRNA from 1 species
GACGAACGCUGGCGGCGUGCUUAACACAUGCAAGUCGAACGGUAAGGCCCCUUCGGGGGUACACGAGUGGCGAACGGGUGAGUAACACGUGGGUGAUCUGCCCUGCACUUCGGGAUAAGCCUGGGAAACUGGGUCUAAUACCGGAUAGGCCCCCUGCCUGCAUGGGCGGGGGUGGAAAGCUUUUGCGGUGGGGGAUGGGCCCGCGGCCUAUCAGCUGGUUGGUGGGGUGAUGGCCUACCAAGGCGACGACGGGUAGCCGGCCUGAGAGGGUGUCCGGCCACACUGGGACUGAGAUACGGCCCAGACUCCUACGGGAGGCAGCAGUGGGGAAUAUUGCACAAUGGGCGCAAGCCUGAUGCAGCGACGCCGCGUGAGGGAUGACGGCCUUCGGGUUGUAAACCUCUUUCGCCAGGGACGAAGCGCAAGUGACGGUACCUGGAGAAGAAGCACCGGCCAACUACGUGCCAGCCGCCGCAGUAA